GAUGAACGCUAGCGGGAGGCUUAAUACAUGCAAGUCGCACGGCAGCAUGGUUAUAGUAAUAUAAUUGAUGGCGAGUGGCGCACGGGUGAGUAACGCGUACACAACCUACCCUUAAGAGGGGGAUAACUCAGAGAAAUUUGGGAUAAUACCCCAUAAUAUCUUGAAUAUGCAUAUAUUUGGGAUUAAAGUUCCGGCGCUUAAGGAUGGGUGUGCGUUAGAUUAGGUAGUUGGUGAGGUAACGGCUCACCAAGCCGACGAUCGAUAAGGGGCGUGAGAGCGUGAUCCCUCACACGGGUACUGAGACACGGACCCGACUCCUACGGGAGGCAGCAGUAAGGAAUAUUGGACAAUGCCCGCAAGGGUGAUCCAGCCAUCCCGCGUGCAGGAAGACUGCCCUAUGGGUUGUAAACUGCUUUUAUCAGGGAAGAAACCCCUUGACUUGUUGAGGGUUGACGGUACCUGAUGAAUAAGCACCGGCUAACUCCGUGCCAGCCGCCGCCGUAAAAC
rnacentral:rRNA from 1 species